AUCCUUGUCCAGCUUCAGCUUCGUCACCACGACCUUGGACGGAUUGAUGCCGACAUUCACCGUCGAUCCGUUCACCUUCUCGCGAGUGAUCCGCUCGAUGUGGAUCACCCACUUGCGGCGGUACACCUGGACGACCUUGCCCUCGCGGCCUUUGUAGGUGCCGCGCACGAUCUGGACCUCGUCGUCCUUCCUCACAGGCAUGGAUCGGACGCUGUACUUGUUGCGGAGGUCGGAGG
rnacentral:misc_RNA from 1 species